CGCAUAAUUGGUAAAGCGCUCGGCUGAAAAGCCGGCGGUGCAGAGCUACCAUGUGUUGGAUCAA
rnacentral:tRNA from 13 species